GUAUCUGUAGCGCAAUGGGUAGCGCGUUGGACUUCUUAUCCAAAGGUCGUGGAUUCGAAUCCCUCCUGAGAUG
rnacentral:tRNA from 1 species